GAGGUUAUAGCUCAAAUGGUAGAGCGCAUGCUUAGUAUGCAUGAGAUCCUGUGUUCAAUCCUCCGUACCUCCU
rnacentral:tRNA from 1 species